UACGUAGGGUGCGAGCGUUGUCUGGAAUUAUUGGGCGUAAAGAGCUCGUAGGCGGUUUGUCGCGUCUGCUGUGAAAACCCGAGGCUCAACCUCGGGCCUGCAGUGGGUACGGGCAGACUAGAGUGCGGUAGGGGAGAUUGGAAUUCCUGGUGUAGCGGUGGAAUGCGCAGAUAUCAGGAGGAACACCGAUGGCGAAGGCAGAUCUCUGGGCCGUAACUGACGCUGAGGAGCGAAAGCGUGGGGGAGCGAACAGG
rnacentral:rRNA from 1 species